UGCGAUUUUGUAGCGAUGCUAAUCGCUCGAUUCUGUGCCACUCUUGUCGCCCACCGCUAACGGCUGGCUAACGGGCCGAGGCGUCGGUCAGACCACUAACGAAUAGCGAAAACAAUAGCAUCGCUACGAAAUCGCGGCCUAGCUUUCAGAAUGCUUCUCAUGUGCUCAAUAUUUUUUUUCUUAAUCAAAUGCUCUGUGUUUUACUAUAUAUUUGUGUUUUGUUGAUGAUCGUCCUAGUAGUCUGUUGUUGUUGCUGAUUUCGUUCCUUCCUGAAAUUUCACUUGUUACAAAAUAGCAGUGUAAACCUCCUGAGAUAUAACGAAGAGAGAUUUGUACAACCAGACACUGAUUGAUGCAGCUGGCUAUGUGAGGCACUCUUUGCAAUUCCACAUGACACUGGCUAUGCGGAUUCUGGAGGCAUCCCUACACCCCGCAGGAACCUUCUCCACUGCUGGAAGCUGGGAAGCACAACGAUAAAGCACCUGAUCUGCAUGCUUUCACAAAGACUCCUCAAGGAUGGUAAGGAGGCUGAAACACAUCUUUGAUAAAACAAGUGGUGCCGGUGGUGCCGAGCCCGUCGCAGUCGUGUCAGCACCAAAAGUGGACCUUGGGGAAGGAAUCCUCCUUGAUGAGGCCACGCUGGCACGACUGCAGCGAGACGCAAAAACUCAGACUCAAGAUGUGCACGGGGCGUCCUGAAGGUUCUUUUCAGCCCAGAAGAGUUAGAGCACAAGUCUCUAUUUGGGCGGCGUUCCAAUGCCCACAAAGAUGUCGCCCAAGAAGUGGCUUCGGACCGAAGGCGUGUGAACGCCAUUCUGAGCUACACAGCAAGGCACUUCGACACUGCGGAGAUCAAAAACAUGUCAUCGAUGCUUGCGCGCAG